AGUACUCAACUUGCAGCUUUGUUGCUUGCAAGCUUGGAAUUGGGACCUGUCGGCGUAAGUCGACUGUCCUGAAAUGCAUUAGCCUUGAAUGCGAUCGUCGCAACUAAGCGUGAUAAACUUUGUCUUCGCUGAAAGCGUUCGUUCGGGACGGGCUCAUAGAAACCCAUACUUUUUCAC
rnacentral:misc_RNA from 1 species